GUGGCUUAGUGUAGCUAUAAAAUGUGCCCCAAACUUGCAACGACAGAAAAAGCUGCAGCUAAACACUAAACUGGGCAAUUAAAGGCUUGUCAUUAAAAGGGGGCGCUAAAAUAAACAACAAAUCCGAGCGGAAGGAGAAACCGGAGAAACUAAACUUUGCCUUGUCUCUUCUCUUUUAUAGCCGAGCCCUUGGGGAACGUGCCCGGCGUGCUCCCCAGGGCAGGCCGCCGGCUGUGUGCUGGCCUGAAGGAAAGGGGAGGGAUGCGCGAACCGCAGGCUCAGGCUGAAGCGGAGGGGGAAGGGAGCGGGCUGCGGUGUUCACCUGCUUAGCGGAUUGGCUUCCGCCUCUUCCCCGCAGACGAACUUUCGCCCUGGGAUUUUCUCCCCGCCCUGUGGCGGGGCAGGCAGCCGCGGCAAUGGACGGCCCCGCAGCUCCGCAGGGAGGCCUCUCGGUGUCCCAGCAGGUCCGCGCGAUGUUCUACGUCCUGCAGCCCAAUGAAAGCUCCUUCGCCAGCCUCGAGGAGGUGCCCGAUUAUGUGAAUAAGGCGACGCCGCUUUUCGUUGUCUUGAUGCUGUUGGAGUUUGUUGUCAGUUGGGUUUGGAGGCAUGAGGCACCAGGGAGGAUCAAUGAUAGCAUAACUUCUCUCUCUGCAGGAGUCCUGUCUCGACUUCCAGAUGUUGUGUCCAGAAGCCUCGAGUUGACUACCUACAUCUAUGUGUGGGAUAACUACAGACUCUUUGAACUGCUGUGGGACUCACCAUGGACAUGGUAUUUGACAUUCCUAGGAGUAGACUUUGGAUACUACUGGUUCCAUCGCAUGGCCCAUGAGGUUAAUAUAUUGUGGGCAGCACACCAAGUACAUCAUAGUUCUGAAGCUUAUAACUUAUCCACAGCACUGAGACAAUCUGUACUGCAGAGAUACACUUCUUGGGUUUUCUACUUGCCUAUGGCUCUUUUUAUUCCUCCAUCAGUAUAUGCUGUUCAUCUCCAGUUUAAUCUCCUUUACCAGUUUUGGAUACAUACAGAGGUAGUUAACACCCUUGGACCUCUGGAGCUGAUUCUUAAUACUCCCAGUCACCACAGAGUUCACCAUGGCAGAAAUCCUUACUGCAUUGACAAAAAUUAUGGUGGUACCCUCAUUAUUUGGGACAGAAUUUUUGGAACAUUUGUGGCAGAAAAUGAUAAAGUUAUAUAUGGCCUAACACACCCAAUAAAUACAUUUGAACCUGUCAAGGUCCAGUUAUGUCACUUGGCUUAUAUAUGGAGCACAUUUUGGGCCACACCUGGAUUCAGUAAUAAGCUCUCUGUAAUAUUCAAAGGCCCAGGUUGGGGACCAGGAAAACCUAGACUCGGCCUUCCUGAGGAAAUCCCAGUGAUCACUGGAAAAGAGGUUCCAUUCAAUCCCAGAUUGCCAAUAUAUCUUUCUGUCUAUGCAGUAGUACAUUUUGCCUUGAUGCUGGGCUUUUAUGUGGACCUGUUUGAGACCCAGGCUACAUUAUCACAGGUAACUCUUCUCCUGAGGAUUGGCUACAUUAUCCUGACAUUGACCUCCAUUGGAUUCCUUAUGGAGCAAAGGCCCAAAGCAGCUAGUUUGGAAGCUGUCCGCUGCUCAGUCUUUCUAGCUCUGCACAAACUUAGUUACCUGAAAAUAUACAUUGCUUCUUUGGCAUUUACUUACGAGGUUUUAUUUUCACUCUGCAUUGCAUUCUGGGGAGUACAAAUUAUGAAGCCACUGAUCUCAAAUACAGCAAAAUAUCACUGAAUUAUGGAAAGAGCCCUUUGGAAUAUGCUUCGAAGUUUCUUGGAAUAAGUUGACGGUGCCUCUUUCUGAAAUGCAAGCAUUUCACAUAGGCUAGAUGAAAUGGAGGUUGAAGCCAGACACAGGGACAACAUACUGAAACCUUGCUCUGCCCAACUCGUAUCUGACAGAACUGCAUGCAGGACUUGCAUGAACCAGCAUGUGCCAAACUCUGUCAAGGCUUCGAUCACUUCUGCCAUGAUUUUGACUGGACCUGCUGCUUUUCCGAGUGCCAUCUUCAGCAGUGCAGCCUUGACACUCCCUCAGCUCAUCGACAUCUAUAAUCAAUUCACAGUCUCUCAAGGGUUUUCAAUGAAGUAGAUCCACAUAGUAUUUGUGCUAUUAGUUACAUACUGUUUUUUGUCACAAGCAGUCUGCCCCCUGCAUCUUUUACAAGUGGUGUGUUCACUCUGUCUUCCUUUGGUUUGUUUCUUGUCUGCAUGAUUGCAUACAUUUUCUUUUUGAGAAGUUU